AGACCCGAAACCCGGUGAUCUAGCCAUGGGCAGGUUGAAGGUUGGGUAACACUAACUGGAGGACCGAACCGACUAAUGUUGAAAAAUUAGCGGAUGACCUGUGGCUGGGGGUGAAAGGCCAAUCAAACCGGGAGAUAGCUGGUUCUCCCCGAAAGCUAUUUAGGUAGCGCCUCGUGAAUUCAUCUCCGGGGGUAGAGCACUGUUUCGGCUAGGGGGCCAUCCCGGCUUACCAACCCGAUGCAAACUGCGAAUACCGGAGAAUGUUAUCACGGGAGACACACGGCGGGUGCUAACGUCCGUCGUGAAGAGGGAAACAACCCAGACCGCCAGCUAAGGUCCCAAAGUCAUGGUUAAGUGGGAAACGAUGUGGGAAGGCCCAGACAGCCAGGAUGUUGGCUUAGAAGCAGCCAUCAUUUAAAGAAAGCGUAAUAGCUCACUGGUCGAGUCGGCCUGCGCGGAAGAUGUAACGGGGCUAAACCAUGCACCGAAGCUGCGGCAGCGACGCUGAUGCGUUGUUGGGUAGGGGAGCGUUCUGUAAGCCUGCGAAGGUGACCUGUGAGGGUUGCUGGAGGUAUCAGAAGUGCGAAUGCUGACAUAAGUAACGAUAAAGCGGGUGAAAAGCCCGCUCGCCGGAAGACCAAGGGUUCCUGUCCAACGUUAAUCGGGGCAGGGUGAGUCGACCCCUAAGGCGAGGCCGAAAGGCGUAGUCGAUGGGAAACGGGUUAAUAUUCCCGUACUUGGUGUUACUGCGAAGGGGGGACGGAGAAGGCUAUGUUGGCCGGGCGACGGUUGUCCCGGUUUAAGCGUGUAGGUGUGUGUUCCAGGUAAAUCCGGUUCACUUUAACACUGAGGCGUGACGACGAGGCACUACGGUGCUGAAGCAACAAAUGCCCUGCUUCCAGGAAAAGCCUCUAAGCAUCAGGUAACAUCAAAUCGUACCCCAAACCGACACAGGUGGUCAGGUAGAGAAUACCAAGGCGCUUGAGAGAACUCGGGUGAAGGAACUAGGCAAAAUGGUGCCGUAACUUCGGGAGAAGGCACGCUGACACGUAGGUGAAGUGAUUUACUCACGGAGCUGAAGUCAGUCGAAGAUACCAGCUGGCUGCAACUGUUUAUUAAAAACACAGCACUGUGCAAACACGAAAGUGGACGUAUACGGUGUGACGCCUGCCCGGUGCCGGAAGGUUAAUUGAUGGGGUCAGCGCAAGCGAAGCUCCUGAUCGAAGCCCCGGUAAACGGCGGCCGUAACUAUAACGGUCCUAAGGUAGCGAAAUUCCUUGUCGGGUAAGUUCCGACCUGCACGAAUGGCGUAAUGAUGGCCAGGCUGUCUCCACCCGAGACUCAGUGAAAUUGAACUCGCUGUGAAGAUGCAGUGUACCCGCGGCAAGACGGAAAGACCCCGUGAACCUUUACUAUAGCUUGACACUGAACAUUGAGCCUUGAUGUGUAGGAUAGGUGGGAGGCUUUGAAGUGUGGACGCCAGUCUGCAUGGAGCCGACCUUGAAAUACCACCCUUUAAUGUUUGAUGUUCUAACGUGGACCCGUUACCCGGGUUGCGGACAGUGUCUGGUGGGUAGUUUGACUGGGGCGGUCUCCUCCUAAAGAGUAACGGAGGAGCACGAAGGUUGGCUAAUCCUGGUCGGACAUCAGGAGGUUAGUGCAAUGGCAUAAGCCAGCUUGACUGCGAGCGUGACGGCGCGAGCAGGUGCGAAAGCAGGUCAUAGUGAUCCGGUGGUUCUGAAUGGAAGGGCCAUCGCUCAACGGAUAAAAGGUACUCCGGGGAUAACAGGCUGAUACCGCCCAAGAGUUCAUAUCGACGGCGGUGUUUGGCACCUCGAUGUCGGCUCAUCACAUCCUGGGGCUGAAGUAGGUCCCAAGGGUAUGGCUGUUCGCCAUUUAAAGUGGUACGCGAGCUGGGUUUAGAACGUCGUGAGACAGUUCGGUCCCUAUCUGCCGUGGGCGCUGGAGAACUGAGGGGGGCUGCUCCUAGUACGAGAGGACCGGAGUGGACGCAUCACUGGUGUUCGGGUUGUCAUGCCAAUGGCACUGCCCGGUAGCUAAAUGCGGAAGAGAUAAGUGCUGAAAGCAUCUAAGCACGAAACUUGCCCCGAG
rnacentral:rRNA from 1 species